rnacentral:rRNA from 1 species
GACGAACCGUGCGAACGUUGUUCGGAAUCACUGGGCUUAAAGGGCGCGUAGGCGGGUCAUCAAGUCAGGGGUGAAAUCCCACGGCUCAACCGUGGAAGUGCCUUUGAUACUGGUGGUCUCGAGGGAGGUAGGGGCGUGUGGAACUUCCGGUGGAGCGGUGAAAUGCGUAGAUAUCGGAAGGAACGCCGGUGGCGAAAGCGACGCGCUGGACCUCUUCUGACGCUGAGGCGCGAAAGCUAGGGGAGCAAACGGG